CGGCUUCCUACGGGAGGCAGCAGUGGGGAAUUUUGCACAAUGGGCGAAAGCCUGAUGCAGCGACGCCGCGUGGAGGAUGAAGGUCUUCGGGUUGUAAACUCCUUUUCUCAGGAAAGAUGAUGACGGUACCUGAGGAAUAAGCCACGGCUAACUCUGUGCCAGCAGCCGCGGUAAGACAGAGGUGGCAAGCGUUGUUCGGAAUUACUGGGCUUAAAGGGCGAGUAGGCGUCCUGACAAGUCAGAUGUGGAAUCUUUUCGCUUAACGAAAAAAUUGCAUUUGAAACUGUCGGGAUUGAGUCAGUGAGGGGAGGGCGGAAUUCCCGGUGUAGCGGUGAAAUGCGUAGAUAUCGGGAGGAAGGCCGGUGGCGAAGGCGGCCCUCUGGCGCUGAACUGACGCUGAGGCGCGAAAGCGUGGGGAGCAGACAGGAUUAGAUACCCCGGUAGUCCAAGC
rnacentral:rRNA from 1 species